UACGUAGGUGGCAAGCGUUGUCCGGAUUUAUUGGGCGUAAAGCGCCCGCAGGCGGCUUGAUAAGUUUCAGGUGAAAUCUCCCGGCUCAACCGGGAGGGUGCCUGGAAAACUAUCAGGCUUGAGUCAUGGAGAGGGAUGUGGAAUUCCCGGUGUAGUGGUGAAAUGCGUAGAUAUCGGGAGGAACACCAGUGGCGAAGGCGGCAUCCUGGCCAUGUACUGACGCUCAGGGGCGAAGGCGUGGGGAGCAAACCGG
rnacentral:rRNA from 1 species